rnacentral:lncRNA from 1 species
UUAGAUAUACUGCAGUGUGUUCUAUAUUCUCAGCAUUUCUGAGGCUAUGCAAAGCCACCCAAACUUCUGAAAUAUGUACCUUGUAUUUCUUACUUGAGAAACUUUUAGUUUCUAUGCAUUGGAAAAAAAAAAAAAAGCUCUAUAGCAGACUUUCCUCCUGAAGCGUGAAGAAGGAAUAAACGAGGAGUAGAGAUUUUUGCCUCCUUUUUCAUUUAUGUAAAUAAACGUAUGAAAUGGAUUUUUAAUUUAUACAUUAGUUAUCUUGGUCCCAAAGCAUAACUCUUUUAACACCUUGAGCUUCCUUAUGUUGGAGGGGGAAAAAGAGUGCAAAAUCAUUAGAGACAUGAUUAUGCUUUAAUUUAGGUCUUUGAGUUAUGUAAGCAGAAUGCAAUUAAAGAAGAAGUGCUCACUAUGACUACCUAUUUCAAAUAGGCUUUCAAUUUUUCAGUUUUAUGUGUAUCUUCUGCAAUUGCAUAAAACUUCCUCAAGGCUAUGACAGUGGAUUAUGGCUGUGUUCUUGUAAUUAUUUUCAGCUUAAAAAAAAGAACAACUUUGCUGCAUAAACUAUUGAGUUAAACAUAUUACACGUCUAGUUUUUACUGGGAUUGUGUAAGAUUUUACACCAGCCAUGAGAUUCUCUGCAUUCAUAGGUUUAGAAGGAAAAUGUGAGUAUUUAUGGCAUCAUGAUUGUCACUGUCACUAUCAUCCUCUCAUUGUCGUCAUCACCAUGAAAAUCAGAUCCACAAGUGUUAUCUUGCUUAAUUAUUGCAGCAACUCUGUGAUCUUUAUUAUUGCCAUUUUCCAGAUAAGGAAACCGAGACUUUGAAACAUUAAGUAACUUGCAUAAAGUCAGACAGCUAGGAAGCAUAGUAUCUGAAAUAGGAAACCAUUGCUCACUUUGGCAGCACAUAUACUAACAUUGGAAUGAUACAGAGAAGAUUAGCGUGACCCCUGCACAACGAUGACAUGGGAAUUUGUGAAGCGUUUCAUAUUUUUAGUAAAAGUAGAAAUACCUGUUGAUCCAUUAUCUACCAAAAGGAAAAGAAGUCAUUAUAUGAAAAAGACACUUGCACAUGCAUGUUUAUAGCAGCACAAUUCACAAUUUCAGAAAUAUGGAACCAGCCGAAAUGCCCAUCAGUGAAUAAGUGGAUAAAGAAACUAUGGUGUGUGCAUACACACACAAACACAUGCUACUCAGCCAUAAAAAGGAAUGAAAUAGGUCAGGCAAAGUGGUUCACACUUGUAAUCCCAGCACUUCGGGAGGCUGAGGCAGGUGGAUAAUCUGAGGUCAGGAGUUUUGAGACCAGCCUGGCCAACAUGAUGAAACUGCAUCUCCACUAAAAAUACAAAAUUAGCCAGGCAUAUUGGCAGGUGCCUGUAGUCCCAGCUACUUAGGAGGCUGAGGCAGGAGAACUGCUUGAAUCCAGGAGAUGGAGGUUGCAGUUAGUGGAAGAUCAUGCCACUGCACUCCAGGCUGGGCGACAGAGCAAGACUCCAUCUAAAAAAAAAAAAAAAAAAAAAAAAAAAAAUGAAAUAAUGGCAUUCGCAACAACCUGGAUGGAGUGAGAGGCCGUUAUUGUAAGUGAAGUAACUCAGGAAUGGAAACCAAACAUCUCAUGGCUUAUCUCCCACUUACAAUGGUUUUCCAUUCCCGAGUUCCUUAACAUUGUGUUAAUAUACUAACAUAUUCUCGCUUAUAAGUGGGAGCUAAGCUAUAAGGACACAAAAGCAUAAAAAAUGACAUAAUGUACUCUUGGGACUUGAGGGGAAGGGUGGGAGGUGGGUGAGGGAUAAAAGACUACAUACUGAUUGGGUGAUGGGUGCAUCAAAAUCUCAGAAAUGACACCCAAUGAACUUACCCAUGUAAGGAACAUUACCUGUUCCCACAAAACUAUUGAAAUAAUAAUAAAAGAAAAACAUUGUUGAAAAGAUAAAAUUAGAAACCAAGAAGCUUGGCUUCAUAAC